rnacentral:rRNA from 1 species
UACGAAGGGGGCUAGCGUUGUUCGGAAUUACUGGGCGUAAAGCGUAUGCAGGCGGAUCGUUAAGUCAGGGGUGAAAGCCCAAGGCUCAACCUUGGAAUUGCCUUUGAUACUGAGGGCCUUGAGACCGGAAGAGGUCGGCGGAACUGCGAGUGUAGAGGUGAAAUUCGUAGAUAUUCGCAAGAACACCAGUGGCGAAGGCGGCCGACUGGUCCGGUUCUGACGCUGAGGCGCGAAAGCGUGGGGAGCAAACAGG